AGAAGCUCCAUUACCACAGUCUCUCCAGUGUGCUCAUUUGCCCUUGGAGGAAGGAGAGGGGGAAGGCAGACUUUUACAGCUGAGGAUCGUCUCUGAAGAGGAAGGCACAGUUCACUGAGGCCUGGAUGUUGCUCAAAGAUCACCCCCACCUCUCAACAGAUGGAAGGGACAGGGUGUGUGUGAGGAGCGGGAAUGACUGUGGGCAAGGGGACGCCACUGCAAGGAGGGACUGGCCUCCUGUGAACAGACACUAAGGCCCAGGAGCAGUGACCUCUGAUGCCAAGGGGAGGAAGAGGCAACUUCAGCCAAGGGAGUGGGCAAAAAGAGCACGCUCAGCUACGUCCUUGGGAGUGCAAGAGCCCAGAAGACGCGGUCGGGAACAGCCGAAUCGGAUUUUUGGGAGUGCAAGAGCCCAGAAGACACGGUCGGGAACAGCUGAAUCGAAUUUUUGGGAGUGCAAGAGCCCAGAAGACGCGGUCGGGAACAGCCGAAUCGGAUUUUUGGGAGUGCAAGAGCCCAGAAGACGCGGUCGGGAACAGUCGAAUCGGAUUUUUGGGAGUGCCGAAUUGGAUUUAGUCGGGGAUGAGAUUGCUUCUGCCAGAGCUGAGGCCUGGGAACUGACUUCCAGGGACUGGGUGAUCCAGGAGCAGGGCGGGAUGUCCCUCUUCUGGGACCAUGAUGAUGGACUCUGAAGCAGAGGGUGUCAGAGUGUGAGACCCUUAUCCGAGCUCCUCUUAGAAUGAAGCUCUUUCCUGCUUCUAUUUUUUAAGUGAUAAAAAUGAAUACACAUACAGAAAAGUGCAUCAGACCUUUUAUAUACUAACAAC